GGGAAACUUACCAGGUCCAGGCACAGUGAGGGUUGACAGACUGAUAGCUCUUUCGGGAUUCUAUGGGUGGUGGCGCAUGGCCGUUCUCAGUUGGUGGAGUGAUUUGUCUGGUUAAUUCCGUUAACGAACGAGACCUUGACCUGCUAAAUAGGCUCCAGAACCUCUGGUUCAAGGACGCCUUCUUAGAGGGACGUUGCGUGUCCAACGCGAGGAAGUGUGAUGCAAUAG
rnacentral:rRNA from 1 species